rnacentral:rRNA from 1 species
AAUGAACGCUGGCGGCAUGCCUAACACAUGCAAGUCGAACGAAGGCUUCGGCCUCAGUGGCGCACGGGUGCGUAACGCGUGGGAAUCUGCCCUUGGGUUCGGAAUAACAGUUAGAAAUGACUGCUAAUACCGGAUGAUGACGUAAGUCCAAAGAUUUAUCGCCCAAGGAUGAGCCCGCGUAGGAUUAGCUAGUUGGCGGGGUAAAAGCCCACCAAGGCGACGAUCCUUAGCUGGUCUGAGAGGAUGAUCAGCCACACUGGGACUGAGACACGGCCCAGACUCCUACGGGAGGCAGCAGUGGGGAAUAUUGGACAAUGGGCGAAAGCCUGAUCCAGCAAUGCCGCGUGAGUGAUGAAGGCCUUAGGGUUGUAAAGCUCUUUUACCCGGGAUGAUAAUGACAGUACCGGGAGAAUAAGCUCCGGCUAACUUCGUGCCAGCCGCCGCUGUAAGAC